GACGAACGCUGGCGGCGUGCUUAACACAUGCAAGUCGAACGGAAAGGCCCUGCUUGCAGGGUACUCGAGUGGCGAACGGGUGAGUAACACGUGGGUGAUCUGCCCUGCACUUCGGGAUAAGCCUGGGAAACUGGGUCUAACACCGGAUAGGAGCCAUUUUUAGUGUGAUGGUUGGAAAGUUUUUUCGGUGUAGGAUGAGCUCGCGGCCUAUCAGCUUGUUGGUGGGGUAAUGGCCUACCAAGGCGGCGACGGGUAGCCGGCCUGAGAGGGUGGACGGCCACAUUGGGACUGAGAUACGGCCCAGACUCCUACGGGAGGCAGCAGUGGGGAAUAUUGCACAAUGGGCGCAAGCCUGAUGCAGCGACGCCGCGGGGGGGAUGACGGCCUUCGGGUUGUAAACUCCUUUCGCUAGGGACGAAGCUUUUUGUGACGGUACCUAGAGAAGAAGCACCGGCUAACUACGUG
rnacentral:rRNA from 1 species